CAUUGGGUCUGGUUGGGCUGAAGCCCCACACCCCACUGUUGGUGCAGAAAUUGUGCCACCUGCCACCAGACCCACUACUGCUGGACACUGGCCCUGGCCAGGCUACAGCCCCAUUCCCCACUGUCAGUGCAGAAAUCUGGGGGACAGGGUCAUGCCCCCCAUGUCUCUCCAUGCAUUGCUAAUGUACUGACUGAAUAAUGCCAUUGUCUCCACAGCUAUGAAAAUGGAAGCACUUUGUUGGAGCACCUUUUCCAGGGAUCUCAAUUAGCAAAAUGCAUUGUGGAAACGGUUAUCCACUGGCACAAGUUACAGUGGUCCUGAACAUGCUACAUCUUGCAUUAAUGGCAGUUUAGCUUCUAGGAUUAGGUGAAUGAGGUGGUAAAACUGUGAUAUAACUCCCCCUAUGACUUCACUUCCUAGGUGUGCUGGUGCAUGUAAGGAUAUGACAGCUGAGCAAACCAAGAAAAAGUUUACAGAAGAGCAGGAGGGAAAAGUACAUGCCUGAUCCAAAGCUUGCUGAAAUUGGAAAGACUGGACUCCUAUUAAGGACAGAGAUACAGAUCAGACUGCAAUCUGGAAGCAUUUCAAGACCUGGAGAGAAUUUGAUUUUAGCAUUACAGUGAUAGGUCUCCCACCUCUAAUUUUAUAUAGCACACAACUUUUUUUUUUUUUUGGUAAAGUUGUUUCUGCUGUUUGCUACCAUGACAAUAAAGCACCCUUUGUUUUCUUC